AUUGAACGCUAGCGGGAUGCCUUACACAUGCAAGUAGAACGGAGUGGCGAACGGGUGAGUAAUGUAUCGGAACGUGCCCAGUAGCGGGGGAUAACUACGCGAAAGCGUAGCUAAUACCGCAUACUAUUGGAGCGGCCGAUAUGGGAUUAGCUAGUUGGUGGGGUAACGGCUCACCAAGGCGACGAUCCGUAGCUGGUUGGAGAGGACGACCAGCCACACGGGGACUGAGACACGGCCCGGCUUCCUACGGGAGGCAGCAGUGGGGAAUUUUGGACAAUGGGGGAAAUCCUGCUCCAGCCAGCCCGCGUGGUCGAUGAAGUCCUUCGGGUUUUAAAGCACUUUUUGCAGGAAGGCGGUACCUGCAGAAUAAGCACCGGCUAACUACGUGCCAGCAGCCGCGGUAAUUC
rnacentral:rRNA from 1 species